AAGCCUACGGGGCGCAGCAGUGGGGAAUAUUGCACAAUGGGGGAAACCCUGAUGCAGCAACGCCGCGUGAGUGAAGAAGUCAUUCGUGAUGUAAAGCUCUAUCAGCAGGGAAGAAAAUGACGGUACCUGAGUAAGAAGCCCCGGCUAACUACGUGCCAGCAGCCGCGGUAAUACGUAGGGGGCAAGCGUUAUCCGGAAUCACUGGGUGUAAAGGGAGCGUAGACGGCUGAGCAAGCCUGAAGUGAAAGGCGGGGGCCCAACCCCCGGACUGCUUUGGG
rnacentral:rRNA from 1 species